rnacentral:lncRNA from 7 species
UGUGAUUUCCGGUUAAAUGGGGAUUUUCCUAGAGAAGAUGUGUGAUUUGGGGAUAAUGGGUAUUUUUGAAGAGAUAAAGCAUGAUUUUGGGGUAAAUGGGGGAUUUUCCAAGAGAAAAUGUGUGAUUUGGGGGUUAAAAGGCGGGAUUUCUGAGGAGAAAAUGUGUGCUUUUGGGGUUAAUGGGGUAUUUUUGAAGAGAUAAAGCAUGAUUUUGGG